CUCAGAGAGCCAGUCAGGAGUGGGCGGGACCUAAGCGUCGGGGCGGGGCCUGGGCCGGGACAAGGACGGGUCUGAUAGGCUGCUCCCUCAAGAACCACGCCAGGAGUGGGCGGGGCCUGCGCUGUGUCUGCGCCCCAACACCGCCUUAGGCGGCUGGUGCUGAGGUUGGUACAGGAGACGGCCAGGAAUGGGGCGGGGCUAGGAGGUGCUUUGCGAUUUGAGGGCGUGGCCUGGGCCGGAGGGGCGAAGCUUGGCUGUGAUUGACGCCUAAGGAGGCCGCGCCUGAGACCUCGCCUGGAGCCCUGUUGACACCGGAGGCAAACCGCAACUGAAAACCUUGCCUGGGAAGGCCAAGGCCAAGGGCGAGCCUGUCUGUGAUUGGCAGCUGAAGUCCAGGCCUGGAACUAAGGGGGCGGAGUCUGGGGGUUAGAGAGGGGCCGAGCCACGGUCGUCGCCUGGGGGCUGGGCGUGGCCUCGCGCGGGUGGGUGUGGCCUGGAGCGGGUUCGGACUGACGCGGACGCCUGAGGCGCAGCUACUAAAUAAAGCUCCUGCUCUGCCAGACGCGCCGGCCAGUGGGACCCAGGACUCCCGGCGCAAGUGCUGGCUGGCAGCCCGUCCUGGCCUGCUUCCGCGGUUGCCUGAGUUCCUCCAAUUAGAGUUUAUUGGGCGCCUGCGGAGCACAGCUCCUCAUUAAAAACCCGAAAACAAGGGUGCAGCUCGUUACAGCGCUCGCCCUUAAUUGGGAUGGAUACCGGGGAGACCGAGCACGAGAGGAUUGAGGGGCCCUGGCGUCUGUAACUAUAAAACAUGAGUCACGCGAGCAGGCCGAACGCACGGUGAAAGGUUUCAUUACCAAGAAAAAUACACUACGGAAUUCUCUUUCAAGUGGUAACUGCUGUGGUCGUAAAAAUGCGGUUUUUAAAAAAUUUAAAAAUCAUAAUGAGCCAUUAAGGAGUGAACACUUCCUGGACACUAACUGAAGCCUUCUGUUAUAUGCUUUUCUUUGAGGAGGCUACAUAGCAGAGAUUAGAAUUACUGUACCGCUGAAACUGGCCUGGAACUUCUCAUCCUCCUGCCUCAGCGGCUGGGAUUAUACACAUGUCAUCAGGCCACAUACUUAACAUUGCCACGUUAAGUAGCAUAAGGCAAGUAAUUAGAAAGCAGAGAAUUGACAAUGGGAGAUUGUUCACCCGCAUGAACACUCUGCACAGCCGUCUAUUGGAAUAACAGACACUCCUUGUGAACGGUGAAGGAUGUUGAGAAACAUCCAGUCUAGAGAGGAAGUUGGAAUGCACUGAGCAAUGACUAAUGAAUGGGAAAUAUGAGAUGGACUCAUUUUCUCUCAAGUUCAUAAUCGGUGAGGCAAGAAAAUCUUUUGGUAGUUGUGGUUUUACUUAGCUGCUUGGACCAAAUGGUAGCCUGUUCUGUUUCAAGCUUUCUUCACUGAGAACCCUUAAGAGUGGCAUUUUCCAAAAUGGCAAGUGCACCUUGUCAACUUUGCCAACAAGGGAGAUUGUUGCACUUUCACUUGUCUCCUGGGGGCUGAGACUGAAGCAGAUUCGUGUGUGUGUGUGUGUGUGUGUGUGUGUGUGUGUAUGUAUGUAUGUGUAAUUUUUUGUUUUUCCAGCCAGGGUUUCUCUGUGAAACAGAGCUGUCCUGGACUCAUUUUGUAGACCAGGCUGGCCUUGAACUCUGAGAAAUCCGACUGACUGCUCUGCCUCCUGAAUGCUGGGAUUAAAGGCGCGUGCCACGUGUGGCUCCUUUAAGUGCUGAGACGUCUCACUGGCCCGAGUUUUCACUUUGGAUUUUAUUUUGCAUACAGAAUCAAGUCUAGCAAAAGAAAAUAUGUUAGGAUUCUUAGAGUACAUCUUUCUAAGAGAGCACAUUCCUUCUAGUUUUUACUUACACAGUAUGCAUAUUUCUGUAGCUGUGCAUAAAUAGACUGAUAUGUCUACUAAGAGAUGGAACCCCAGUGUCUGCUCAUGGGAUUUGUGGAUUGGGUAUAUCACAUGUCAGUGUUCCAACUGGUGCCAAGACUGCAAAUGGUCAGGCCUGGCUACCUGGGGGACACCUGACCUCUAGUACGGCCCUGUUAUGUGCAGGCUAAACGUAAAAGGAGAGGUCUCUGGGGCCUUCUGCUUUCAGAGUCUGCUCACUUUGGGAACAUUCAGCUCCUGAUAUGUCCCUGGUGCCUCUCAGUACCUCUUCUCUGUUCCUGAUCACCUCUCCCGUGGAUGUCGUACCCUGCACCUGUAGCUCUUCAUCCAAGAUGUAAGACCGCCCUGCCAGCUUGGUUUUUUUCUUCUUGUAGGUUUCACUGUUUCUUUUGUAAAGUUGACACAGCUAGAGGUUUUAGGGAAGGGGACUGUCAGUUGAAAAAAUGCCUCCAAGAAAUUGUUUGUGGUCAGCCUGUUGAUGUAAUGAGCCUGUAAGACAGCAGAGCUGUCAGGAGCAUAGUUAAGAGACAUUUUUUUUGUGACAGUGACUGGGCAACGCCCCUAAGACAUUGAGAGCUUGUAAGACAGCAGAGCUGUCAAGGAUAGAUAAGAUAUUCGUAGUAAUAGUAACUAAGAACGCUCUUAAGGCAGCUGAGUGUGUGCGUGCAUGUGAAAGAAUGCUAAGUUAAAGCUAUGCCCUGAAAAAUGUAUAAAAACUGGAGCCAGAGCCCACUCAGGUGCAGCAGGCCAGACUCUGGUGAGUACGCCGAGAGACCGCCACUAACCAGCCAAUUCCCAAACGGGUGUUUGAAAAGCCCAGACCACCUUAACAAACCGGUUUUGAGAGGACCACCUUAUCAGACCCGUCAUGGAAGGUGGCUCCCGAGAAACCGCAGCUUCCUUCGCAUCUGAGGCCUGGCCGGAGCAGAGAAGCUCCAAGGCCUGUCAAUUUAUCAGAAGACGUGUCUGAGGUCCAGGACCUAGAAGACACCUGAAGCUGGAGACAAAGUGUCCGAGCCUGUACCUGUGGCCAGGUUGUAUUCCCCAUAAGAUGUAUAAUGUGCUUUGCAACUCUUAGAUAUCUGCGUGAUUAGUGUGAUUAAAGCAGCAUUCAAAAAUCA